rnacentral:rRNA from 1 species
CGAUAAAGCGGGUGAAAAGCCCGCUCGCCGGAAGACCAAGGGUUCCUGUCCAACGUUAAUCGGGGCAGGGUGAGUCGACCCCUAAGGCGAGGCCGAAAGGCGUAGUCGAUGGGAAACGGGUUAAUAUUCCCGUACUUGGUGUUACUGCGAAGGGGGGACGGAGAAGGCUAUGUUGGCCGGGCGACGGUUGUCCCGGUUUAAGCGUGUAGGUGUGUGUUCCAGGUAAAUCCGGUUCACUUUAACACUGAGGCGUGACGACGAGGCACUACGGUGCUGAAGCAACAAAUGCCCUGCUUCCAGGAAAAGCCUCUAAGCAUCAGGUAACAUCAAAUCGUACCCCAAACCGACACAGGUGGUCAGGUAGAGAAUACCAAGGCGCUUGAGAGAACUCGGGUGAAGGAACUAGGCAAAAUGGUGCCGUAACUUCGGGAGAAGGCACGCUGACACGUAGGUGAAGUGAUUUACUCAUGGAGCUGAAGUCAGUCGAAGAUACCAGCUGGCUGCAACUGUUUAUUAAAAACACAGCACUGUGCAAACACGAAAGUGGACGUAUACGGUGUGACGCCUGCCCGGUGCCGGAAGGUUAAUUGAUGGGGUCAGCGCAAGCGAAGCUCCUGAUCGAAGCCCCGGUAAACGGCGGCCGUAACUAUAACGGUCCUAAGGUAGCGAAAUUCCUUGUCGGGUAAGUUCCGACCUGCACGAAUGGCGUAAUGAUGGCCAGGCUGUCUCCACCCGAGACUCAGUGAAAUUGAACUCGCUGUGAAGAUGCAGUGUACCCGCGGCAAGACGGAAAGACCCCGUGAACCUUUACUAUAGCUUGACACUGAACAUUGAGCCUUGAUGUGUAGGAUAGGUGGGAGGCUUUGAAGUGUGGACGCCAGUCUGCAUGGAGCCGACCUUGAAAUACCACCCUUUAAUGUUUGAUGUUCUAACGUGGACCCGUUACCCGGGUUGCGGACAGUGUCUGGUGGGUAGUUUGACUGGGGCGGUCUCCUCCUAAAGAGUAACGGAGGAGCACGAAGGUUGGCUAAUCCUGGUCGGACAUCAGGAGGUUAGUGCAAUGGCAUAAGCCAGCUUGACUGCGAGCGUGACGGCGCGAGCAGGUGCGAAAGCAGGUCAUAGUGAUCCGGUGGUUCUGAAUGGAAGGGCCAUCGCUCAACGGAUAAAAGGUACUCCGGGGAUAACAGGCUGAUACCGCCCAAGAGUUCAUAUCGACGGCGGUGUUUGGCACCUCGAUGUCGGCUCAUCACAUCCUGGGGCUGAAGUAGGUCCCAAGGGUAUGGCUGUUCGCCAUUUAAAGUGGUACGCGAGCUGGGUUUAGAACGUCGUGAGACAGUUCGGUCCCUAUCUGCCGUGGGCGCUGGAGAACUGAGGGGGGCUGCUCCUAGUACGAGAGGACCGGAGUGGACGCAUCACUGGUGUUCGGGUUGUCAUGCCAAUGGCACUGCCCGGUAGCUAAAUGCGGAAGAGAUAAGUGCUGAAAGCAUCUAAGCACGAAACUUGCCCCGA